GUUAUGAGUACUGUAGCAAAAGAAAAGAACAUCAAAGCCCCAUUGAGGUUAGAGAAAUAUGAGACAGAAGAUAUGUCCAUGAGUAGCCAAGUAUUCUUGCUGGAAAACAUCCAGAGUUUUAUGAUGUUCUCCUGAUCAAGCCAUCUUCAGCCAAGGCAAGAUAACUAACAUCAAUACAUGAAGAGAGAAUUGCCAAGCGUUGUCAGUGGUGUCAUCUUUGAAUGUGGAAGACAGCUAUAUGAGUUCUGACUCAGGAUUAAAGGACCUAACUCGACAGUUUUCCUCUGAGAGUGGGAUGAUCUAGAGGAUCCCUUGGGGUCAAAGAUUCCUCAGUGGAAGAUGGAUCCUUCAACACUGUAAGGGACCCAAUGGGAUCACACCAGAACUGCUUCAGUCAGGCCAAAAAUGGAGGAGGCUGGCCAACGGAAGACAAUAUUAGGAGCUGGGACUUCCAUGGGGACCUUGGGAUUUGUGAGACAGAGAGGAGACCACCAAGAUAUCUCUUUUGGUUUUGCUCUGAACCCUGAAGGUGGAAUCAGGGUUCUGGGAGUUCUUGGCUCCAUGAAGAGGGGCCAGGCUGAGGAUUGGAGCCAGGUCAGGGAAUUCGCUGGACUACUGGACUGCAGCUUGGGCUCCACCGCAGCUGCCAGAGGCCAACUAGCUGGCAACUUCUCUUCUGCCCUGGCUCUGACCUCCACAACAGCCAGCAACUGCUGUUGCUGCUUUGAGGCUAAGGCAGCUUCAUCAGUGUCCGUAUGGAGUACCAGUGUGGAGUGGGGUAGGGUUUUAAAGACAUUCUGAGGAGGAUG